GGGCCACAAGGCAAGGAUAAACAUUGUUAAAUCUUGAAAUAUCCAUUACCAUUUCAGUUUCCUUAUAAUACAUCUCUGAUUCCAUUCCUCUUUUAAUACAAAUCUACUACUUAAUCUUGCCUAUGAUCAACCAUAAGCAAAACAGAGAAGCUCUAAAACCUGAAACUUCCUUGACAGCCUUAGGUGGGGAAGAAUGAUAUUCGUUCAUGAAAAAACAGAUAUCUCUUUCAAUAACCAGAAUACCAAGAUAUUUGAAGACAAUUACUUUAGUAGCGGAGGAAGUUGUUCAAAUGACUGGUUGAACUUGAGCAUAGGGCGGAACAGCGAAUUUAUGGAUACAGACCAGGCUGCUCUAUCAAAAUCCACUUCCAACAAGGUCUUCCCUUGCAACUUCUGCAAGAGAAAGUUCCAUAGCUCUCAAGCACUCGGUGGCCACCAGAAUGCCCACAAGAGGGAGAGAGGAGCGAUCAAAAGGCAUGAAUAUGAGAGGCAAAUUGCAGCAAAUGGUCUGUUUACCGGCAAAACAAUGGCUCUGUUACUUGGUGUUCAGGCUCAUUCACUUGUCCAUAAACCAAACAGAGAACAAGAUGCUAUGAUUGCAAGAUUCAAUAAUAACAUUGAUCAGAGAUUAGGGGCGCAAAGAGCAACAAUUAUGCCUGGAGAUGCAAUAAUGGCAAAGUGGCCAGGAAGCUUUGGCAUACCCUCAGACCAGCACAAACAGCCAACGGAAUUGCUUAAAGUUGACUUGACACUGCGACUUUAGUACAUCAUGUUACAUUAGUUUCUAUAUGAUCAGCAAGUGAUUUGUUUGGGACACUUCAAAGAAGCAGAACCCCUCAAGGAAAGGUUACUUAGCUGCUGAACGGUCUGUUUACUUGAAAGAUUAUCACCAAGCCAUCUCAUGGUGAAAAUUCAGAGGGAACAGUCAAAUUCAUUGCUAGCAGGCGGGCGAACAUCAUCUUAAAGCACAAGGGCUUUAUUACACGAUUCAUAUGUUGAAAUAAGAGAGGACAU